UACAGGGGGGGUAAGCGUUGUUCGGAAUUACUGGGCGUAAAGGGCUCGUAAGCGGCCAACUAAGUCGGACGUGAAAUCCCUCAGCUUAACUGGGGAACUGCGUCCGAUACUGGAUGGCUUGGAUUUGGGAGAGGGAUGCGGAAUUCCAGGUGUAGCGGUGAAAUGCGUAGAUAUCUGGAGGAACACCGGUGGCGAAGGCGGCAUUCUGGACCGACAUUGACGCUGAGGAGCGAAAGCCAGGGGAGCAAACGGG
rnacentral:rRNA from 1 species